CACGUAGGGCGCAAGCGUUGUCCGGAAUUAUUGGGCGUAAAGAGCUCGUAGGCGGUCUGUUGCGUCCGCUGUGAAAACUCGGGGCUUAACCCCGAGCCUGCAGUGGAUACGGGCAGACUAGAGGUAGGUAGGGGAGAAUGGAAUUCCCGGUGUAGCGGUGAAAUGCGCAGAUAUCGGGAGGAACACCGGUGGCGAAGGCGGUUCUCUGGGCAUUACCUGACGCUGAGGCACGAAAGCCGGGGGAGCAAACAGG
rnacentral:rRNA from 1 species